AUGGUUCUCUAUAUGCUUUCUUUUUUUCAACUCUCACAAGGGGUGCUGCAAAGAAUGGACUAUUUUAGAUCAAGAUUCUUUCGGCUAGGAGAUGGUGAAAAGAAAAGGUUCAGGCUGGCAAAAUGGAGCGUGGUUUGUAGGCCGAAAGACGAAGAUGGCCUUGGAAUUCAUGACCUGCAGGUCAAGAAUGUCGCCCUACUUAGUAAAUGGUUGUUCAAACUUCUUACUGAGGCUGUUGUUUGGCAAACCAUGUUGCGUAACAAGUAUCUAGGCCAAAAGGCAGUGGCUCGGGCCUAUUGGAAACCUGGUGACUCGCACUUUCGGGGUGGCCUAAUGGCAGCAAAGAAACAUCUCUUUCGCUUUGGGUCUUUCGCGAUAAAGAAUGGGUCGGAAAUUCGUUUCUAG
rnacentral:rRNA from 1 species